rnacentral:tRNA from 1 species
GGCCUCGUAGCUCAGUUGGUAGAGCGACUGCGUACAAAGCGUAGACGGCGUCCAUGAGUGGGUUCGAAUCCCACCGAGGUGA